rnacentral:misc_RNA from 1 species
GUGAAUCAUCAAAUUUUUGAACGCAAAUUGCACUCUCGGGUAUUCCGGAGAGUAUGCCUGUUUGAGGAUCAGUUUAAAUAAAAAUCGUUGUGGUUGCGUUCUUUCGGGGUGACGCACCGGAGUUGGGUCGUCGUGCCUUCGGGGAAGUGACCUAAAAUUUUGCAUGAUUUUUUUCGGACG